rnacentral:lncRNA from 10 species
CAAGAUUCAGAGGGAUGACACGGCUUUCCCAAAGUCUUGUCACCAAGAAGCACAGCCAGUAUUGAAAUCCAGGGCCCCACCUGUAAAAUGGGAAUAACAGCAGCAUCUCCCUGAGAUGUUCUUUCAAAGAUGAGAAAACAUGAACAACUGGACUCUCUUGCCCAAGCCAUGGUCUCAGUGUUUCCUAAGAUUUAAAACAUUUCAUCCUGAAGACAGACUCUGAGAUGCUCUCUGCACUUGGCUGGAGGAGAGAUGAGCAAUGCUCUGGAAGUGCUGAAGCCCUGGGCUCUUGGAGCUGCCUGCCUGAGGCUGAGCUGUGUGGGAGGAGAAGAAGAACAGCAACAGCCUGGGGAGACAAACACACAAACAAACCUACAAACAAGGGAUGUGUUUGUUACUGAAAGAGAAAGGGCCCAUUCAGCUCUAGGCCCUAGAUGCUCAAUGCUUCCUCCAGGCCUGGAGCCCAGGCAGCUGUCACAUUUAUCUAUCCCCAAAGCCACCUGUGACCCCUGGCUGCUGCACGGGAGGUCCCUGGGCCUGCAAGGGUGGGGGUGGUGACCCUUUCCCUCAUGGCUCAUGGGUUGGCUCCUCAGGCCCUGUCCCAUGGCCUGGGUGGGGUCUCCUUCUCCUUCCUCUUCCUCCACUCGGUGGCUCUAUUCUUAUCCUUCACCUCUGAAGUCCCAGGGACAAACAGUGGGGCCCUCUGGAUGAAGAGAGGGCUUGAAAUGCUGAUGGCUGGAAUGGAGAGAAUUAUUCAAACCAUCCUGGGGUGAGAAAGAGGAGAAGGCAAAGUAACAUUUUUUGAGCACCUACUAUGUGCUUGACACACUGCUGAGCCAUUUCAUCUAAUACUUCCAGCCAAAAGGAGUGGCGGCUCAGAGCUCGAGCAGCUGGCUCUGACUGACAGUGCAUUCCCUUUCCAGGAAAAGAUCCACCCCAUGGGGCUGUGAUGUUAAGAAACAGGACAGGGAAGCAUAAAGGCUACAGUGAGUGAGGGAGUAGCUGACACACAGUAGUGUUCAAUAGAUACUGUGCCCCCAUCCUGAGUCCCUAUGCAUUUUGUAGAAGACUUGUUUAAUGGAAAGGAAAAAACCAUGCUAUAACUGAUCCAUUUAUUUUAUUCAAUAAAUAUUUACUGAGCACCUACUGUGUGCCAGAAACUGUGUAGGGGCUGAAACACAUCAAUGGCCAAGAUGGAAACUGGGAAAGUGCCCCUGCCCUUGCGCAGUUUACAUUCUAGUGGAAUGGCCAGGAGAGGGACCCUUCACGUGCACUUGUCCAGCACAGCUGUGUUGAGUGCUGACUAUGUGUCGGGCUCUGGUCUCUGCAUGGUGUUCUUCAACCUGAGUGUCAGGCUAGGAAGCAGCACUGACUGCCCUGGGCUGUACUGAGCCUCCAUGGGGAUUUCAGAAAAGGUGCUCUUUCUUCUGACAUCUGCCAGAAAAAUGUCUCUAAUCAGUAUGCAAAUUGAUAAUGAUAAUAACAUAUAAACACCAACCUCUGGGGUUGUGCAGUGAACAAACUACCCAACUGUCCCCAACAGGGCUGCUCAGAACCACCCAGGAGCCCCUCCAACCCUGCGUGUAUGUCCCUCCAGUGUUCUUCCACACACUGCAAUAGCUCCAUCAUGAUGCGUACGAAUUGUGAUGAAUGAAAAUAAGAGCUUCCAUUGGCUGAAGACUCACUAAGUUUCCAUAAACCACUAAUAUUCCAAAUUCCCAAUUCCAUUCAGUCCCCGCAUUCCCCUAUGAGGUAGCAUUUAUGGGUUCAGUCACGUGCCCCCAAUAUUCAUAUGUUGAAGUCCUAAGCCCUGACCUCGGGAUGUGACUGCAUUUGGAGAUGGGGUCUUUGAAGCUAUAAUUAAGGUAAAAUGAGUUCAUUAGGGUGGACCCUUAUCCAACGUGGCUGAUUUCUCAAAAGAAGAGAUUUGAACACAAAAGCGUGCAGAGGGAAGACCAAGUGAGGACACAGGCCAGCUACAAGCUAAGGAAAGUGGCCUCAGAAGAAACCAGCUAUGUAGGGACCAUCCCUUGAUCUUGAACUUCUAGCCUAUAGAACUGUGAGAGAAUGAAUUUCUGUUGUUUAAGCCACCCUGUCUCUGGUACUUUAUUGUGGCAGCCCUUGCAAACUAAUACAGAUAGAUUCUAUUAUUUCCCCCGUUUUUACCAAUAAACACACUGAGUCAGUGAGAGGUUAUGUACCAUGUCCAAGGUCACGAGCUAAGAGGUAGGGACGUGGGGUUGGAACUCAGCUCUGAUUCCACACCCAUGCACUUAGCCCCACUGCACUGCACAGAUUUUUCCUUUUUAAUCCCUUUUUGGCCCCUUCAGAGGGGCAUGUCUUAACUGGAUCUCUGCAGGGUGAGCAUGUCAAAAGAGAGGUUGGCACUGAGACUCCACACAUCCACAAACCCUUACCCUGGGCCAGCCCUGCAGAGCCCUGGGCCAUGGGCUGUCUGCCCAGGCAUCUGGGACAAGCUAAAGAAGUUCUCUACUCAUUCUGUUUUAUUUUCUAAACAUUAUUGGUCUUUGGAAGUAGUGACCUUUGAAGAAAGAAAGAAAAAUUCCAGAUAUUCCAAAGAUAGUGAGUAAUCUCUGCAGUCAACCCUAGACCAGGGAAGAGCAAGGAUUCUCUGUGAAGAGCCAGACAGCAAACCUCCCAGGCUCUGCUGGCCAGAAGCGUGUGGCAGCCACUCCACUCCACCACCUCAGCUCAAGACCGCCAUAGGCAGUGUGCAAAUGAAUGAACACAGCUGGCUUCCAUUAUAGCUUUAUUUAUAGACACUAAUAUCUGGAU